rnacentral:tRNA from 1 species
UCCCUGGUGGUCUAGUGGUUAGGACUUGGCGCUUUCACCGCUGCAGUCCAGGUUGAAUUCUUGGUCUGGGAA